rnacentral:lncRNA from 1 species
UACUCCCAGAUGUGAGACAGGAAAAGAGAACCUGGGCAUAUCAAUUAGACUGUGUCAUGACUGCACUCUUGCACAUACAUUCAUACCUUUCAGUUACUACAGUGGGAUUCUUCUCAAUACUACCAAAAGUUCAGGUUCCAGCCUCAGCUCAUCAUACCCUACCUCUGUGGUGCACAGGCAAGCUGAAAGCUGAAGAGCACAGUCACAGUGGGCAUGCAGAGAAUGAAAGCCAAGCAGAGCUCCCAUCCACCAGCCCUGUUCAUAAAGCAAGAUCACCACGCUCACAGGAGGCCACAGAGGGAACAUCAGCUGCCAGAUGAGAGAGUAAACCUGAGUGGCAUAAAGGAGUUACUGCACUAUUAUUUUCCAACCGCUUGAAGCGGUUUUUAAUGACCACAUGUAGCCAGAACUUCAGUUUUACAGUGUUUCCAAAAGCUGACAGGAUAUUCAUAGCUUUGUUCUGAGCUUCUACAAGCUAUCAUGGUCUUGGCUGGGAGGCAAAGAGUGGCACAUCUUUAAUUGCUGCUGAGCUCUGCAGCACCUGGGAGCUGCUGGAAGAUUGCCACCUCCCUGCCAGUAAGACCUGGCUCAGCUGCUUUUGUAAGCUCUGACAAGAACUCAAACUGGUGUGAUGUUGCUGCAAAUUUAGAUAAUGUAGAUAAUGUAACACCUUUAUCAAAAGCAUAAGGAAAAUUUAUGUUUUGGAUUGAUUCUUUUUUUUGGUCUUUAUUGAGCAGGCUGCUCAGUGGAUGAAACUGACAAAAAUGUGCAAAGAACACACACCACAGCAUGCAUGGAUGUCUGAUCGUGUGCAUAGAUGUCUGAUCAUAUGAAUUU